UAUGUGAUCGUCUCUCGCAUAUCAAUAAGCGGAGGAAAAGAAAAUAACAAUGAUUUCCCUAGUAACGGCGAGUGAACAGGAAAGAGCUCAAAGUUGGAACCUGCUUGACUUAGUUAAGCCGGAUUGUAAACUGUAGAAACGUUUUCUAGGCAAGCCGAGUUAAAAAGUCCUUUGGAACAGGGCAUCAUAGAGGGUGAGAAUCCCGUCUUUGACUCGAGUAUUUUGUCUUUUUAUGAUACGUUUUCCAAGAGUCAGGUUGUUUGGGAAUGCAGUCCAAAAUGGGUGGUAAAUUUCAUCUAAAGCUAAAUAUUGGCGAGAGACCGACAGCGAACAAGUGCCGUGAGGGAAAGAUGAAAAGAACUUUGAAAAGAGAGUUAAACAGUACGUGAAAUUGUCAAAAGGGAAGCGUUUGACACCAGUGUUGUUUUUCUGAAAAUCAAUUAAAGAACUGUUUAUGCUAAGUUGUUUAGACUUUAUCAGCUAACUGCUUAGUUUUGAGCUUUUCUUUAAUGCACCUUUCAGUUAACAAGUCAACAUCAACUUUCUUUUGCUGUAAAAAAGCUUGAGGAAGGUGGCUUGAGAUUCGUCUUAAGUGUUUAUAGCCUCUUGCCUAUGCAGUCGGAGAGAUUGAGGUCUGCAGCGUAGAUCCUUCGGGGCUAAAUGCAUUUGUGCUAAGUUAUAGCAUUUUAUAGACAACUUGUUGACUAUGAUUUGUCUUGUAGCUUACUCGCUUAUGUUAUUUUACCUACGCUUAGGAUGUUGAAGAUAUGCGCGACAC
rnacentral:rRNA from 1 species